UGUGAAUUUAAAUAAUUAAGUUAUAAUUUUAUUAAGUUAAAUUAUUUUGAUUAAUUAUCAUAUAUGUGUGUGUAUAUAUAUUUAUUGUAUUUAAAUUGGAGAUGUUUUUAUAGCAUAAAUUAAGGUGAGGGACUAGAAAGAGAUUUUAUAAAAAAACAAAGAGAAGUUGGGACGUAUGCACCCUCCUUUCUUUUCCUUUCUCCGCUGCACACACUUCCCCACCAAAAAAAUAAUUUCUUCCUUUCACCACUAUAACCACCAGCCACCAAGCUUCCCUCCCUCUUCCUUCUUCUCGUCUGAGCCACCCUUUUCUCCUCCCUCUCGCCAUUUUUGUUAUGCCACAAGGUGGGAAGGCGUCCACUUCACUGCCAUUGACGAGACUGCCACCUGCAGUCAUUUUCUUGCAAAUCCGACAUCAGAAUCUCACUCCCCACUGUCGAAAAUCCCCAGAUCAACUCUUCCCCGCCGUUUUUCUCGCCGGAAGCUGGAGGUUAGUGCAGGGGCUUUUUGGUGUUUUUAGUAUCAUCACGUCUCAAGCUUCGUGUAGGGGCUUCAAGAUUCAAAUUCUGAUACUGUUGCCGGUAACGGCUUUUGGACCCUGUUAUUUUUCGGACGUGAAUUUUUAGCUUGAUAAUUCUUCGAUUCAGCCCGCUCCACCCGAGGCGUAGGAGCAGAGUAAGGGAGUCGUCGGAACUGUGAGUUAAAAUCAUAUAUCCUAUGCAUGUGCCAUGCCAAAUUUUAUGUAACAUUUUUUACUAAUAAUUAUUAUGAAUAUUUUUAGUAUUAUCAACGUAUUAAUAUAUUUUCAUUAUUAUGAUAUUUCUUGAAAUUUUUUAUUAUUUAUUAUUAUGUAUUUAAUUAAUUGAUUUAUGAAUUUAAAUUAUUUAUUUAAUUAAUUGAUUUAUGGCUUUAAAUUAUUAAUUAAUUAAUUAUUUAAUUAAUUGAUUUAUGGAUUUAAUUAAUUAAUUAAUUAUUUAUUUAUUUAACUAAUUAAGUUUAUGUCUGCAAUAAAUGUUUUGUUCAAUCUUAUUUAAUAAGUUAUUGAACUAUGUUAAGAUUGCUUGCUAUUUAUGUCAUUUUUCAUAUUAUCAAUGUUAUGAUUGUAUUAUGUCCCGGGAUGAGACGACGAUAGAACAUGCCACCUGAUGGGUUGCAACAGGACCGCGUGCACGCUGGUAUAAAUCAAAAGCAGGUAGUAAGAGAAUAUUUUUGUGACAUGUCCUGGUUGAGUACAACUCUUUGGAUUAUAGAAAUUUGGUUGUCGGAGGAAAGGCCUAUGGUCGAGCGUUGUUCUCUGAUCACCGGCUAUAUUGGAGAUCAAGUGACUAGGCUGGAUUUAAGGAUCCUGGUUGAGCGUCACUCUCUAGCACCAGUCCUAUUGGAAUAAGAGAGUCGAAAUGCUGCUAGAAUUGGAGUUAGGGUUCUGCUGAAGUGCUUGUCCCAUAUGAAUUAAAAAUCACAUAUUUUUAAAUUAUGCUAUGGCACGAACUUAUUUUUU